UGAGGAAUAUUGGUCAAUGGACGGAAGUCUGAACCAGCCAAGUAGCGUGCAGGAAGACGGCCCUAUGGGUUGUAAACUGCUUUUGUAUGGGGAUAAAGUCAAUCACGUGUGAUUGUUUGCAGGUACCAUACGAAUAAGGACCGGCUAAUUCCGUGCCAGCAGCCGCGGUAAUACGGAAGGUUCGGGCGUUAUCCGGAUUUAUUGGGUUUAAAGGGAGCGUAGGCCGGAGAUUAAGUGUGUUGUGAAAUGUAGACGCUCAACGUCUGACUUGCAGCGCAUACUGGUUUCCUUGAGUACGCACAACGUUGGCGGAAUUCGUCGUGUAGCGGUGAAAUGCUUAGAUAUGACGAAGAACUCCGAUUGCGAAGGCAGCUGACGGGAGCGCCACUGACGCUUAAGCUCGAAGGUGCGGGUAUCGAACAGGAUUAGAUACCCUGGUAGUCCGCACAGUAAACGAUGGAUGCCCGCUGUUGGUACCUGGUAUCAGCGGCUAAGCGAAAGCAUUAAGCAUCCCACCUGGGGAGUACGCCGGCAACGGU
rnacentral:rRNA from 1 species